UGGGGAAUAUUGCACAAUGGGGGAAACCCUGAUGCAGCGACGCCGCGUGAGCGAAGAAGGCUUUCGAAUCGUAAAGCUCUGUCCUAUGGGAAGAUAAUGACGGUAUCAUAGGAGGAAGCCCCGGCUAACUACGUGCCAGCAGCCGCGGUAAUACGUAGGGGGCAAGCGUUGUCCGGAAUCACUGGGCGGAAAGGGUUCGCAGGCGGAAAUGCAAGUCAGUUGUGGAAGGCAGAGGCUCAACCUCUGUAAGCAAUAGAAACUGUAUUGAUUGAGGUGUGGAGAGGCAAGUGGAAUUCCUAGUGUAGCGGUGAAAUGCGUAGAUAUUAGGAAGAAUACCGGGGGCGAAGGCGACUUGCUAGACACAAACUGACGCUGAGGAACGAAAGCGUGGGUAGCAAACAGG
rnacentral:rRNA from 1 species